UACGAACCGUGCGAACGUUGUUCGGAAUAACUGGGCUUAAAGGGUGCGUAGGCGGAUUCGCCAGUCGGGGGUUAAAUCCCCUCGCUCAACGGAGGGACUGCUGUGGAUACUGCCAGCCUAGAGGGAGGUAGGGGCGGGCGGAACUUCUGGUGGAGCGGUGGAAUGUGCUGAGAUCGACUGGAACACCGGUGGCGAAGGCGGCACGCUGGGUCGUUUCUGACGCUGAUGCACGAAAGCUUGGGGAGCAAACAGG
rnacentral:rRNA from 1 species